CCUACGGGUGGCAGCAGUGAGGAAUAUUGGGCAAUGGGAGAGAUCCUGACCCAGCCACGCCGCGUGAGGGAAGACGGCCCUAUGGGUUGUAAACCUCUUUUGUCGGAGAACAAAACCCGGGACGUGUCCCGGACUGCGUGUAUCCGCAGCAACAGCAUCGGCUAGCUCCGUGCCAGCAGCCGCGGUAAUCCGGAGGAUGCGAGCGUUAUCGGGAUUUAUUGGGUUUAAAGGGUGCGUAGGCGGUCCGUUAAGUCCGCGGUAAAAUUGCGGGGCUCAACCCCGUCGAGCCGUUGAAACUGGCAGACUUGAGUGGGCGAGAAGUACGCGGAAUGCGCGGUGUAGCGGUGAAAUGCAUAGAUAUCGCGCAGAACUCCGAUUGCGAAGGCAGCGUACCGGCGCCAGACUGACGCUGAGGCACGAAAGCGUGGGGAGCGAACAGGAUUAGAUACCCCUGUAGUC
rnacentral:rRNA from 1 species